rnacentral:rRNA from 1 species
UACGUAGGGUGCGAGCGUUGUCCGGAAUUACUGGGCGUAAAGGGCUCGUAGGUGGCCAACUAAGUCAGACGUGAAAUCCCCCGGCUUAACCGGGGAACUGCGUCUGAUACUGGAUGGCUUGAGUUUGGGAGAGGGACGCGGAAUUCCAGGUGUAGCGGUGAAAUGCGUAGAUAUCUGGAGGAACACCGGUGGCGAAGGCGGCGUCCUGGACCAACACUGACACUGAGGAGCGAAAGCCAGGGGAGCAAACGGG